rnacentral:rRNA from 1 species
GAUGAACGCUGGCGGCGUGCCUAAUACAUGCAAGUCGAGCGAACGGACGAGAAGCUUGCUUCUCUGAUGUUAGCGGCGGACGGGUGAGUAACACGUGGAUAACCUACCUAUAAGACUGGGAUAACUUCGGGAAACCGUAGCUAAUACCGGAUAAUAUUUUGAACCGCAUGGUUCAAAAGUGAAAGACGGUCUUGCUGUCACUUAUAGAUGGAUCCGCGCUGCAUUAGCUAGUUGGUAAGGUAACGGCUUACCAAGGCAACGAUGCAUAGCCGACCUGAGAGGGUGAUCGGCCACACUGGAACUGAGACACGGUCCAGACUCCUACGGGAGGCAGCAGUAGGGAAUCUUCCGCAAUGGGCGAAAGCCUGACGGAGCAACGCCGCGUGAGUGAUGAAGGGCUUCGGAUCGUAAAACUCUGUUAUUAGGGAAGAACAUAUGUGUAAGUAACUGUGCACAUCUUGACGGGACCUAAUCAGAAAGCCACGGCUAACUACGU